AUGAGUUCUGUUGCGGAGGCUGAGAGGGCUGCAGAGAUGUUCCAUCGCUAUGAAGUGUACGGCAGGCGUCUGACCGUGCAUAAGGCAGCUCAUAGAACUAGUGGUGCAAGGGUGGAAACUCCACGUCGAUCUGUGAACGACAAUGCAACUCCUGGAUCAAGAGGCUUCCGAAUGGACCCCCCUCGCCGUCGAUCAGUGAACAAUGCAACUCCUAGAUCAAGAGGCUUGCGAAUGGACACCCCUCGCCGUCAUUCCGCAAACAAGGCAGCAACACCAAGAUCAUCAAGGGUGGAAACUCCUCGGCGCCGAUCUUGGCAUCGGUUCGGAAUCUACGUGGGAAAUCUGCCGUGGCAGGUGGACGACUCUUGGUUGGAGGAGCUGUUCAGUGAGCACGGCGAUGUGUUUGAUGCAAGAAUCGUGUACGAGCGCAGAGGAGGGACCUGGCGUUCGCGGGGUUUUGGUUUUGUCACGAUGGCGAGGGAGGAGGAAACUUAUGACGCUGUUUAUGCUCUGAACAAACAGAUUCUUGAGGGACGUACCCUGCUAGUGGAGGUUGCCAAGGAGCGGCCACGGCGAGGCUUUUACUGA
rnacentral:rRNA from 1 species